ensembl:lncRNA
CAGGAGGAACCAGAAGAGCUGUCUGAUAGUGACUUUGAAAGUCCAGUCUGCCGGAGAAGACGAGAUUAUCACAGGUGAUUACAGCCAAGGAGGAAUAUGUGCCCAACUUUCACUUGAACUAAUAUAAGGAUAUAUAUGUAAAGGCUCUGUUAACAUUAUGAAGCAAGUCAUGCUGACCUUCUUUCCUUUGUUCAGUGCAUCAUGCGUUGCCUACAACACCAGGUGAAAGUGAGGCCAAGCAUCAGGAAACAGAGGGCUGCAUUCAGGAGAGUGAAAAUGAGGGACAGGCAGAGGGACAGCAGAUGUUUCCAUAUAAUGUGGCAGAAUUUGUGUAAGCUGUUGUCUAGGGGUUAAAGACAUCCUUCAUUUUAGAUGUUGUUUAGGAUAUUGUUUCGAUGCAGGUUUCCAAUUUGCAUGUUUGGGUUUUUUUUUUUGGGUUUUUUUUUUUGGUGAAUGACUGCAACUUUAGGAUUUACAUUUAAUUUUUUUUUUUUUAAUGAUGUAGUGUGAGAAAUUCUUCAAGGCUGACAUGUUUUAUGAUUUCUAAUAUCUCUUGUCUACUUAGCCCUAUUUUUCUGGAGGAAGAUGAAGCUCUUGAAGAGGCAAUUCAGCGUAGCCUCCUAGAAGAGUCUGAUAGACAGAGUGAAGUUCAUAUUUCAAGGUCUUUUAAGAAGCUCAGCAAAGAAGAAAUUGAAGGUCAUGGUGAACAUGAGGAACAAGACAACUCCAUAUCAGUCGAGCCAAUGUGUGGUCGACUGCUUUGCGUCAGUUCAAGAGACCCAAGUUUGCAGAAAGCUGUGAGAUGCUUUAUGUCACAUUUGCAAGCGAUGAACAUGAUACAGAGGAAGAUGCUGCUGACCUUGGGGGGCCAAGGCGUAUGGAGGACCACAAGAGCCACGC